rnacentral:lncRNA from 1 species
UUUUUUUUUUUUUUUUUUUUUUAAUUCAUGAGAGACAGGGAGAGGGGCAGAGACACAGGCAGAGGGAGAAUCAGGCUCCAUGCAGGGAGCCCAGUGUGGGACUCGAUCCCGGGCUGCCCUACUAGGCUCUUUUAAUGGCUUCCCAAAUUAAUCAGUUGGGAAGCAUUUCUGCUUUUUUUUUUUUUCUUUUUGGCCACCCAUCAAAUGACCCUUUAAAUAAAGAAUUUUCCAACCUUGUCAAAGGACACUCAUGAUAUAACUUGAUAUAUAAAAAUAAAGUAUUACCACUUUAUAGUCAGGAAAUUGAUAUGCUAUGUCGCAAUUAUUGCGCAUUAACCAGAUAAAACAUCUUUAAUAAAUUAGUAAUUUGUCCAUGUGGAAAUUACCUCCAACUUAAUGGUCUAUUUAAUUGCCUCUAAAGGAUUUUAAAUCUAUCAUAAGGUGUGUUUUUUUUUUUUAAUGCAUAGAAUGUAGUGUAAAUAGAAAUAUGUGUAAUUGUCAUGAUCUCCAGAAAGAUUCAAGCCUUAAAUUACAUUAGUGUUGUGAAUCCUGGUUCAAAACAACAAAACAAAAUCUGUUUUGAUGGGCAGCCCUGGUGGCUCAGUGGUUUAGUGCCGUCUUCAGCCCAGGGCCUGAUCCUGGAGACCCGGCAUUGAGUCCCACAUCGGGCUCCCUGUAUGGAUGGAGCCUGCUUCUCCCUCUGCCUGUGUCUCUGUCUCUCAUAAAUAAAUAAAAAUCUUUUUUAAAAUAUGUUUCGAUUAUAUUUAGCAUUAUCUCAGUUUAUAUUCUGACACUUCAGGUAAAACUGUAGGCUUUAUGUUCUUUACUCUUUUUCAUUUAGAUUGUUAUUAGGUAUUUUAUGUAGUGCUAAAGAAAACAUAGUCAGUGGCUGCAUAUUAAAGAUGAUAGGUUAUUUAUCAAGCUCACAGGUGAAUAUGUGGCAAAGAUCACAGUUUUCAACUAUAAAGGAAAGGAACUGGGUGCUGUAAAAAAAAGAAUAACCUAAUUUAGAUUUGGGGUUCCCAAGACCUCUCUGAAAAGAGGGCAUUUGAGAUUGGAAUAAUAAAAAGGUAGAAAGUGUGCAAAUUCUGAGGUGGAAACAGCUUUCAUGCUUUCAAGGAAAUGGAAGAUAGAGAGGGAGACCGCCACUAUAAGUGCUUGAAAGGAGAGAGUAUCAAGAUAAAUUUGGAAAGGUAAGCAAAGGCCGCAUCCUGCAACACCUUUAAAGACUUGUGGGAAACGUUAGAUUUUAUUACAAGUACAGGGGAAAGCCGUAGAGGAGUUCUUAAGCAAGUCAUCACCUAAUAGUCUUGUAGAAAAGAAAUUGUACAUUUGAAGAACAUAAGAAUGGGAGAAAUUCACACUUAAGUCAAGAGAAUAGUAUGUGUUUCAUCUAUAAGGAUGGUAGAAAUGACUUCUCGAUUGGACUCUUGUGUUUAUACUUUAAGAUAUUGAGGUCAAUGUAAACUUCCUGCUGUUUGAUACUGUUUUGACUUGUAUUUAAGUAAUGCUACCAAAGGUUUCCUUUUUUCCUUUAGAAAUGUCAUAUUUAGAAGCUAUUUUUAUAUUUCUGAUAGAAUGUACAAUCAGAUUUCUCUUUCUGUAGGAGCAAGGACAGGAAGAGAACCAUAUCUAGUUGUGUAAGGAAAGAUACAUGAACAUAGGAUAUGAUGUCGCAAAACAUCCAGGCAGAUAGAAAAGAGAAGGAAGAUUCAAUAUAACAAAAUAUUCUUGCUGGAAAAGCUCCAGCUCUUGUGUUUCAGUCUUCUCACAUUAAAAUUGAGGCAUUUAGGAGGAUAAAAGUUCAUUUUAAAUAAAAUUAUAACUAUAAAUAGAAUCACAUGUAAGGUGAUAUUUACUAACCCAGUUAAUGACACUUGGAGAGAUGAAUGGACCCUGUAUCUUUAAUCUUUGCUUUCUCUGUCCCAAACAAGUAUUUACACCAGAAGUAUACUACAUGUGUAGACUACCAAAAAACUAGCUAUCAGAUUCUUCUCAAAUCAGAUAUCAAAGAUUUACCCCCACUGUUUUCUGCAAACUACUGUUCUCCUUCUCUCCAUCCGACUCUUCUCCAGUUGCAUUACUUGGUAUAAGGCUUCAGAAAUGUUCUCUAUUAGCUUUGACUAAAAGCCUUUGCAGACCUAGUCUAGAAAUUGUCUCUACAAGAAAUAAAGUCUAAUAAAAAAGAAAAGAAAAGAAAAA